ACGAGGCCCCACACGAGGUGGCGGUUUGCUCGUUCACUCCGACGUCCGCCGGGGGACGGGUGCUCAGGGGUCUCUGCCUUCCCAGGUACCAGGUCCGGGCCGGGAGCUGGAGGCAGCCAUGAACCAUUUUUAAAGAGAGGGACACGCCCUGAGAGGUGCAGGAUUAAACCCCCUGCUGUCCUAAAACCGCUGCCUGCCCCCAGGGAAGUCCGUGAAGCAGCAGCAGCAGCAGCAGCAGCAGCAGCAGCAGCAGCAGCGGCAGCGCACACUCCGGCUUGGUCUGGGUCAGUCUGGUCGUGUGGCCUAGCGUCUGGGGCACCACCGACUCCUCGGUUCCCUCCAGAGCAAAGGAAGCCCGGAAAAGCUGGCAGGGGUCUAGGAUGAGCGUCUUCCUCACCUUCACCUUCGCUCGACUGGCUCAGGCUUCUGCAGGUGACGUCCCCCGCUGAAGGAUCUGGUGCAGAGCCACAUCCGUCACUGAACUCGGAGGCCAGCGCCCCCCUCUGCAGAUCCUUCCCCUUGACAAACCGUGUAUUUCAUCUACUUCCCGUGAUCUUCUUGCAUUAUUUCAAUAUUAUUAAUACUUGGCAAAUAUAUUAAAAAAGUAAUAAACUGGCAAUUAUGAUUGUGCUACG